UUGCUCAACUGGUAGAGCAUGGCAUUAACGUUGUCAGGGUUCGGGGUUCGAUUCCCACUGGGACCA